GGUGAGAAUCCAAUGCCCCGAAACCCUAAGGGUUCCAGAGGCAGGUUCGUCCACUCUGGGUUAGUCGGGACCUAAGGCGAGGUCGAAAGGCGUAGUCGAUGGAGACCGGGUCAACAAUCCCGGACUACAAUAUGGGAGCAGAACUAGGGACGCAUGAAAGAUAGCCACACCCUGAAUGGAUUGGGAAGACCGUUACGACGGUCGAGUGGUGAAGGAAAGUGCCAAGAAAAGCUAGGGUUGUGAUGAACAUAUAGUACCCGUACCCGAAACCGACACAGGUAGGGAGGUUGAGAAUACCAAGGGGCGCGAGAUAACUCUCUCUAAGGAACUCGGCAAA
rnacentral:rRNA from 1 species